rnacentral:rRNA from 1 species
UACGUAGGGGGCAAGCGUUGCCCGGAUUUAUUGGGCGUAAAGAGCGUGUAGGCGGCCAGACAGGUCCGUUGUGAAAACUCGAGGCUCAACCUCGAGACGCCGAUGGAAACCGUCUGGCUAGAGUCCGGAAGAGGAGAGUGGAAUUCCCGGUGUAGCGGUGAAAUGCGCAGAUAUCGGGAAGAACACGCGUGGCUAAGGCGGCUCUCUAGUACGGUACUGACGCUGAGACGCGAAAGCGUGGGGAGCGAACAGG